AGAUCAGGCCAACAUUAUGAUGAAAUUGUUCCGUCUUUUGCCUGUUUUUCUUCUGUGUACACUCCCUUUCCAGUUUCUCCUCUCAGGAUGCUUAGAAAAACAGGGACAUUGAGACAUGAUGUGAAGUGGAAAACAGAGAGCCUCAGGAGCCUGGUGAUAAUGGAGCACAUGAGCCAUCAGCUUGUCUCUCCUGCUUUCUUCAGCAUCCUGUCUUUUGGGCUGUUACAAUCUGAUUCUAAACUUUAUGAUUUUGGCCUUUUUUGAGGAAUAAUAAAGCCCGGCCUUUGAGAACUGG
rnacentral:lncRNA from 1 species